GCUGGCUGUUAACGAGGGUCUUUUGGCACAGAGAAGUACUCGUAUCGCUACUCGGUAUCGGUGAGUACCCAAAUGUAAGUACUUGUACUUAAAAAGUGGUAUCGGUGCAUCCCUAGUAGUGGUAUUAGAGGGAGCCAACACUGACAGAAAUAAAGAAAGAAAGAAUAUUGAUGGUGGGCAUGUCGACGGAGAUGGAUGACAGAUUAUUACACAGAUGUUGUUGUUGUCAGGUGUUAAAACGGAGGACGUUCACCUGGACGGAGACCAACAUGAGGAAGAGAAAAGUUGUCAAAGCUGUCAGUAAAUUGGCAGCCACGAUAACGGUGAUAUGGUGAAAAGACUAUUAGACACUUUAUAACGAAAUAUGUUCGUACGAGUGUUUCUUGCACGAGGCCCGCUGUGUGUCUGUAACAGCUUUCGUGUUCAGCUCAUCGCCGCAGGAGGAUAAAUGUGUCUUGACAAGUUGGUUUUGUCACUUUUAGAGUGGUAAUCGCUCCAUCUAGAGCUUCCUCUUCAUUCACAAAUGAUUUAGUGAAGAUGUGAUGGUGUGUUUUGGACGACGACGACAAAGCGAGUGUCCUGUCCAUUUAAAGCUAACUUUUUGCCGGUUUUCUCAUUUUUGCGCUACCGUUGGUCUCCGCCAAGAUGCUUCUGCUACACUUUCAUUGUCUAAAUAAUCUUACUUUUGGAUCGAGCAGCUGUUACUGUAUGAGUAACACAGCGUCCUCUCUCAUUGCUGACCAGUAUUUCCCAGCUCCAGCUCAAAUACCAAUGAUUUUUCUUUACUUCAAGAGAUUUUACGAUGUCUGCUUCAGUUUUUGAGAUCAGAUUUUGCACAGCUGAUUAAAUCUUUAUCGCAUUUAAUGAUCAUUUUGAAAGUCAUCUCACUCCUUUUUUUUUUUUUUUUUAACUUUUAAAUGAGUAGUUUGACAUUUUUAGGAAUAUGCUCAUUAGCUUUCUUGCUGAUAGUUGGAUGAGCAGAUUGAUACCACUCUCAAAUAUCUUCCGGUUAAAUAUAAAGAUACAGCCAGUAGCCGCUUAGCUUAGCUUAGCAUAAAGACUGGAAAUGGGGAAACAGCUAGCCUGGCUCUGUCCAAAGGUAACCAAAUCCACCUACCCGCACCUCAUGUUAACGUGUUAUAUCUUGUCUAUUUCAUUUGUACAAAGUGUAAAAACGACAAGUUGUGGUUUUCACAGAAAUAGCUCAGCACAAAACAACUCGUAGUUUUUAUGUCUUGUUUUUGUAGGUGUGUGUGUGAAUGUCGGAUUGCUGUUUUCGGAAAGUUACAGAAAUGGUCGGACACGGAAAGGUGUGAUGGGAGAGGGUUUCCGAACUUAUCCGACCAUCCGACAUGUUCUGAAGCACACUGGCAGCUUUAUCUGUCUGUCUGUUCGUCUUUACCAUACAGACAUGAGAGUGAUAUCGAUCUUCUCAUCUAUAGGGCCUUUUCACACCUUCAUCGUUUGAUCUUGGUUUAGGCGGUGACGACAGGUCGUAGGUGGUGACGACGGCAGGACUUAGGAGUUGGCGACAGGACAUAGGUGAUGACAACAGGACAUAAGCAGUGAUGACAGGACGUAAACGUUGAUGACAGAACCUAGGUGACAUCGACAGGACGUAGGCGUUGGCGACAGGACCUAGGAUUGGGCGACAGGACAUAGGCGUUGACUACAGGACCUAGGCUGUGGCGACAGGACCUAGGCUUUGGCGACAGGACCUAGGAUUGGGCGACAGGACCUAGGAUUGGGCGACAGGCCGUUGGCGUUGGCGACAGGCCGUUGGCGUUGUAGACAGGCCGUUGGCGACAGGCCGUUGGCGUUGGCGACAGGCCUUAGGCGUUGUCGACAGGCCUUAGGCGUUGGCGACAGGACAUAGGCGUUGGCGACAGGACCUAGGCUUUGGGGACAGGACCUAGGCGUUGACGACAGGGCCUAGGCGAGGUCGACAGGGCCUAGGCGAGGUCGACAGGAUGUAGGCGAUGACGAGUGGACAUAGACGACGACAGGACAUAGACGAUGACGACAGGACGUAAACAAUGACGACAGGACGUAAACAAUGACGACAGGACGUACGCGAUGACGACACGACUUGGGGAAACGAUGACAGGACGCAGGCGAUGACGACAGCAUGUAGGUGAAGACGACAGGACGUAGACGACAGGACAUAGGUACGUCAUGUUGAGGUCUGUAGUGCGCUCGCAUCAUUGCAACGUGAAACCAAAACUAACCGGAUCAAAUGUUACAAUGGAACAAAAACACAAACCUUGGUUCGGACUUUCAGGUGUGAAAAAGCCCAAAUUCUCAGCAAGAAAGUUAACGAGCAGAUUUCCUAAAAUAUCGAACAAAUGCUUUAAAAAGAAACGUCCGUUGUUGGUGCCCUGAGCUCAGCAGGAGUCCUCUCAGGUGCUGUUUGGAGCAGAAACUCACAAAGUAUUUUACCAGACGGUGAAAAGCAUGAAACCGGUGUAAUGUUUUGAAUUUAUUUCAUGUAUUUCCACAGCAUCUUUAAGGCACUUUAGAACCAUUAAAACAGCAAACAGCUCAGUGUCGCGUAGGUUUUUAAUGAAGGAUAACGGCACCCCUUUUUUUUUUUUUCACCGUCAUCUUUUCCAAAAUAUCUAAAGCUUGAUCUGAACUGCCAAUUUCCUCGUACGAGUGUUGUGGUUAAAAAAAAAAAUCUUUAAAAGUCAGAAUAUAAGAGCGCAGAGAGGUUUCAUCCCUGUAAAAUGCAACCAGGUUAGCAUGUACUGUUUAAAGUAGCUUUGCAGAAGUCAAAGUCUCCGUUUCCUCCAUUUUUUAGGGCACGCAUCUCGUCUCACUUUAAUCCAAAUGUAUAAAAGAUAAACUGUAAGCAUAGAGGUUUUUGUUUUGUUUUGUUUUGUUUUUUUUAAAUAAUGAAGAGUUAUUUUUGGAAUCAUUGGUAUAAAAGUUUUAAUGAAACACAAUAAGAGUUCAUAUUUUUGAUAGGACAAUAGGCUACAUUCAUUUUGCAGAUUGUGUAGCAGGUUCAUUGAAGCACUGAGAGGAAGAAAAAAAAAAACACUAGACAGUUUAAUUCCAGAAAUAAACAAAUCUAAUAUAUAAUUUUUUUGUCAUAAGGUGGAAAAUAUCUAAUCCUAAGAUUCAAUGCAUAAAGAAUGUGUAGUUAUUGGUGUAAAAAUCAGCCAGUUUAUUUACUUCUUAUGUUGAUUUUAAGAUGUCUUGAUGCUCAGAGAUGAGACAUUUGAUAUUUAGUGGCUCGGUAAUAAAUCUCUAUUGAAAUAAUCAA